rnacentral:tRNA from 1 species
GGCUCAGUGGUCCAAUGGUAAAACGCUCGUCGCUGAGCCAGAAACUCUUGGGUUCGAUCCCCAACGGGGUUA